GACGCCGCGUGAGGGAUGAAGGCCUUCGGGUUGUAAACCUCUUUCAGCAGGGACGAAGCGUGAGUGACGGUACCUGCAGAAGAAGCACCGGCUAACUACGUGCCAGCAGCCGCGGUAAUACGUAGGGUGCGAGCGUUGUCCGGAAUUACUGGGCGUAAAGAGUUCGUAGGCGGUUUGUCGCGUCGUUUGUGAAAACCCGGGGCUCAACUUCGGGCUUGCAGGCGAUACGGGCAGACUUGAGUGUUUCAGGGGAGACUGGAAUUCCUGGUGUAGCGGUGAAAUGCGCAGAUAUCAGGAGGAACACCGGUGGCGAAGGCGGGUCUCUGGGAAACAACUGACGCUGAGGAACGAAAGCGUGGGUAGCAAACAGGAUUAGAUACCCUGGUAGUCCACGCCGUAAACGGUGGGCGCUAGGUGUGGGUUCCUUCCACGGGAUCUGUGCCGUAGCUAACGCAUUAAGCGCCCCGCCUGGGGAGUACGGCCGCAAGGCUAAAACUCAAAGGAAUUGACGGGGGCCCGCACAAGCGGCGGAGCAUGUGGAUUAAUUCGAUGCAACGCGAAGAACCUUACCUGGGUUUGACAUAC
rnacentral:rRNA from 1 species